rnacentral:lncRNA from 1 species
CCCGAGGACUUCAUGUGGACCAUUCGUAGAGGUCGGAUACUUGUGUAGCUACAAGCGAUCAAAAAAACUUCCAGACCUACAUUCUCAAUUAUGGAGAUUAACUACCCAUGCUCAGCUAUUAGGUUUGGAACCCUAGAAGUAGUGGGUUAGAUCUAUCACUAAUUGUUGUUCUUGUUCAAAUGCUUGUAAUAUUAGAUUCAGAUUUUUAUGCAUAUAAAUUCAUAUUAUAAAUCUAUUUAUAGGAGUUUUAAGAUCAAAAUUUAUG